UAACACAUGCAAGUCGAGGGGUAACGAUGGUGCUUGCACCAGGCGACGACCGGCGCACGGGUGAGUAACGCGUAUGCAACCUACCUUUAACUGGGAGAUAGCCCGAAGAAAUUCGGAUUAAUACCCCAUAAUAUUUUAGAAUCGCAUGGUUCUAGAAUUAAAGCUCCGGCGGUUAAAGAUGGGCAUGCGUGACAUUAGUUUGUUGGUGGGGUAACGGCUCACCAAGACUACGAUGUCUAGGGGGUCUGAGAGGAUGAUCCCCCACACUGGUACUGAGACACGGACCAGACUCCUACGGGAGGCAGCAGUGAGGAAUAUUGGUCAAUGGGCGCAAGCCUGAACCAGCCAUCCCACGUGCAGGAUGACAGCCCUACGGGUUGUAAACUGCUUUUGUACAGGAAGAAAUCUCUUUUCGUGAAAAGAGUUGACGGUACUGUACGAAUAAGCAUCGGCUAACUCCGUGCCAGCAGCCGCGGUAAUACGGAGGAUGCAAGCGUUAUCCGGAUUUAUUGGGUUUAAAGGGUGCGUAGGCGGGCUAGUAAGUCAGUGGUGAAAUCCUGCAGCUUAACUGUAGAACUGCCAUUGAUACUGUUAGUCUUGAAUACAGUUGAGGUAAGCGGAAUGUGUAAUGUAGCGGUGAAAAUCUUAGAUAUUACACAGAACACCGAUUGCGUAGGCAGCUUGCUAAACUGUGAUUGACGCUGAGGCACGAAAGCGUGGGGAGCGAACAGGAUUAGAUACCCUGGUAGUCCACGCUGUAAACGAUGAUUACUCGAUGUGUGCAAUACACCGUACGCGUCCAAGCGAAAGCGUUAAGUAAUCCACCUGGGGAGUACGAUCGCAAGAUUGAAACUCAAAGGAAUUGACGGGGGCCCGCACAUCGGAGGAACAUGUGGUUUAAUUCGAUGAUACGCGAGGAACCUUACCUGGGCUUAAAUGCAGAACGACGAUUCGGGAAACCGAUUCUCUCUUCGGAGCGGACUGCAAGGUGCUGCAUGGCUGUCGUCAGCUCGUGCCGCGAGGUGUCGGGUUAAGUCCCAUAACGAGCGCAACCCCUAUCAUUAGUUGCCAGCGGAUAAUGCCGGGGACUCUAAUGAAACUGCCACCGUAAGGUGAGAGGAAGGUGGGGAUGACGUCAAGUCAGCACGGCCCUUACGUCCAGGGCUACACACGUGUUACAAUGGUCGAUACAAAGAGCAGCUACUUGGUGACAAGAUGC
rnacentral:rRNA from 1 species